UGGGGAAUUUUGGACAAUGGGGGAAACCCUGAUCCAGCCAUCCCGCGUGUGCGAUGAAGGCCUUCGGGUUGUAAAGCACUUUUGGCAGGAAAGAAACGUCAUGGGUUAAUACCCCGUGAAACUGACGGUACCUGCAGAAUAAGCACCGGCUAACUACGUGCCAGCAGCCGCGGUAAUACGUAGGGUGCAAGCGUUAAUCGGAAUUACUGGGCGUAAAGCGUGCGCAGGCGGUUCGGAAAGAAAGAUGUGAAAUCCCAGAGCUCAACUUUGGAACUGCAUUUUUCACUACCGGGCUAGAGUGUGUCAGAGGGAGGUGGAAUUCCGCGUGUAGCAGUGAAAUGCGUAGAUAUGCGGAGGAACACCGAUGGCGAAGGCAGCCUCAUGGGAUAACACUGACGCUCCUGCACGAAAGCGUGGGGAGCAAACAGG
rnacentral:rRNA from 1 species